GACGAACGCUGGCGGCGUGCUUAACACAUGCAAGUCGAACGGGGAACCUCUUCGGAGGGGAUCAGUGGCGAACGGGUGAGUAACACGUGGGCAACCUGCCCCCGGCUCUGGGAUAACUCCAAGAAAUUGGGGCUAAUACCGGAUGUUCACCGCUUCCCGCAUGGGUGGUGGUGGAAAGGGUUUCCGGCUGGGGAGGGGCCCGCGGCCUGUCAGCUCGUUGGUGGGGUAGUGGCCUACCAAGGCGAGGACGGGUAGCCGGCCUGAGAGGGUGACCGGCCACACUGGGACUGAGAGACGGCCCAGUCUCCUACGGGGGGCAGCAGUGGGGAAUAUUGCGCAAUGGGCGGAAGCCUGACGCAGCGACGCCGCGUGGGGAAUGACGGCCUUCGGGCUGUAAACCUCUUUCACCGGUGACGAAGCGUAAGUGACGGUACCUGGAGAAGAAGCACCGGCUAACUACGUG
rnacentral:rRNA from 1 species